UGCAGUCGAACGGCAGCACGGACUUCGGUCUGGUGGCGAGUGGCGAACGGGUGAGUAAUAUAUCGGAACGUAUCCAAUAAUGGGGGAUAACUAAUCGAAAGGUUGGCUAAUACCGCAUACGCCCUACGGGGGAAAGCUAGGGACCUUCGGGCCUGGCGUUAAUGGAGCGGCUGAUAUCUGAUUAGCUAGUAGGUGAGGUAAAAGCUCACCUAGGCGACGAUCAGUAGCUGGUCUGAGAGGACGACCAGCCACACUGGAACUGAGACACGGUCCAGACUCCUACGGGAGGCAGCAGUGGGGAAUUUUGGACAAUGGGCGAAAGCCUGAUCCAGCCAUUCCGCGUGAGUGAAGAAGGCCUUCGGGUUGUAAAGCUCUUUCGCAAGGGAAGAAAACUUAGAUACUAAUAUUAUCUGAGGUUGACGGUACCUUGAUAAGAAGCACCGGCUAACUACGUGCCAGCAGCCGCGGUAAUACGUAGGGUGCGAGCGUUAAUCGGAAUUACUGGGCGUAAAGCGUGCGCAGGCGGUUUUGUAAGUCAGAUGUGAAAUCCCCGAGCUCAACUUGGGAACUGCGUUUGAAACUACAAGACUAGAAUAUGUCAGAGGGGGGUAGAAUUCCACGUGUAGCAGUGAAAUGCGUAGAGAUGUGGAGGAAUACCAAUGGCGAAGGCAGCCCCCUGGGAUAAUAUUGACGCUCAUGCACGAAAGCGUGGGGAGCAAACAGGAUUAGAUACCCUGGUAGUCCACGCCCUAAACGAUGUCUACUAGUUGUUGGUGGAGUAAAAUCCAUGAGUAACGCAGCUAACGCGUGAAGUAGACCGCCUGGGGGAGUACGGUCGCAAGAUUAAAACUCAAAUGAAUUGACGGGGGCCCGCACAAGCGGNGGAUUAUGUGGAUUAAUUCGAUGCAACGCGAAAAACCUUACCUGNNNUNGACAUGUAACGAACUUUNCAGANAUGGA
rnacentral:rRNA from 1 species